CUGGUGAUGAUGAAGAGA
rnacentral:sRNA from 1 species